rnacentral:rRNA from 1 species
AUACGGAGGAUCCGAGCGUUAUCCGGAUUUAUUGGGUUUAAAGGGUGCGCAGGCGGGAGAUUAAGUCGGCGGUGAAAUUUUUCAGCUCAACUGUAAAAGUGCCUUCGAAACUGGUUCCCUUGUGUGUAGCUGAAGUAGGCGGCAUUUUUGGUGUUGCGGUGAAAUGCAUAGAUAUCACGAGGAACUCCGAUUGCGCAGGCAGCUUACUAAACUACUACUGACGCACAGGCACGAAGGCGUGGGGAUCAAACAGGAUUAGAUACCCUGGUAGUCCACGCAGUAAACGAUGAUUACUAGCUGUUUGCGAUACAAUGUAAGCGGCUGAGCGAAAGCGUUAAGUAAUCCACCUGGGGAGUACGUUCGCAAGAAUGAAACUCAAAUGAAUUGACGGGG